rnacentral:rRNA from 1 species
CCUACGGGUGGCAGCAGUGGGGAAUAUUGGACAAUGGGGGGAACCCUGAUCCAGCGACGCCGCGUGAGUGAAGAAGUAUUUCGGUAUGUAAAGCUCUGUCAGCAGGGAAGAGAAUGACGGUACCUGACCAAGAAGCCCCGGCUAAAUACGUGCCAGCAGCCGCGGUAAUACGUAUGGGGCAAGCGUUAUCCGGAUUUACUGGGUGUAAAGGGAGCGUAGGCGGCAGGGCAAGCCUGAUGUGAAAGCCCGGGGCUCAACCCCGGGACUGCAUUGGGAACUGCCCCGCUCGAGUGUCGGAGGGGCAGGCGGAAUUCCUAGUGUAGCGGUGAAAUGCGUAGAUAUUAGGAGGAACACCAGUGGCGAAGGCGGCCUGCUGGACGGUGUACUGACGCUGAGGCUCGAAAGCGUGGGGAGCAAACAGGAUUAGAUACCCUGGUAGUC